rnacentral:rRNA from 1 species
AGAGUUUGAUCCUGGCUCAGGAUGAACGCUGGCGGCGUGCCUAAUACAUGCAAGUCGAACGCAUAUCUUCGGAUAUGAGUGGCGAACGGGUGAGUAAUACAUAAGUAACCUGGCCUUAAGAGGGGGAUAACUAUUAGAAAUGAUAGCUAAGACCGCAUAGGUAUGAAGAUCGCAUGAUCGACAUAUUAAAUAUCCCACGGGAUAGCUGAAGGAUGGACUUAUGGCGCAUUAGCUAGUUGGUAGGGUAACGGCCUACCAAGGCGACGAUGCGUAGCCGACCUGAGAGGGUGGACGGCCACACUGGGACUGAGACACGGCCCAGACUCCUACGGGAGGCAGCAGUAGGGAAUUUUCGGCAAUGGGGGGAACCCUGACCGAGCAACGCCGCGUGAGGGAGGAAGUAUUUCGGUAUGUAAACCUCUGUUAUAAAGGAAGAACGGUGCAUGUAGGGAAUGACAUGCAAGUGACGGUACUUUGUGAGGAAGCCACGGCUAACUACGUGCCAGCAGCCGCGGUAAUACGUAGGUGGCGAGCGUUAUCCGGAAUUAUUGGGCGUAAAGAGGGAGCAGGCGGCAGCUAAGGUCUGCGGUGAAAGCCCGAAGCUAAACUUCGGUAAGCCGUGGAAACCGAGCAGCUAGAGUGCAGUAGAGGAUCGUGGAAUUCCAUGUGUAGCGGUGAAAUGCGUAGAUAUAUGGAGGAACACCAGUGGCGAAGGCGACGAUCUGGCCUGUAACUGACGCUCAGUCCCGAAAGCGUGGGGAGCAAAUAGGAUUAGAUACCCUAGUAGUCCACGCCGUAAACGAUGAGUACUAAGUGUUGGGGGUCAAACCUCAGUGCUGCAGUUAACGCAAUAAGUACUCCGCCUGAGUAGUACGUUCGCAAGAAUGAAACUCAAAGGAAUUGACGGGGGCCCGCACAAGCGGUGGAGCAUGUGGUUUAAUUCGAAGCAACGCGAAGAACCUUACCAGGCCUUGACAUCCCCCUGGAUGGCCCGUAACGGGGUCAGCCCUUUCUGGGCAGGGGAGACAGGUGGUGCAUGGUUGUCGUCAGCUCGUGUCGUGAGAUGUUGGGUUAAGUCCCGCAACGAGCGCAACCCUUAU